UACUUGUCGAUGAGUGCUAGAUGGCUGG
rnacentral:sRNA from 1 species